rnacentral:sRNA from 1 species
GAUACCAGGGUCAAAAGGUCAUGCUUUUUCAUGCUUGCAUGAAAAAGCAUGACUUUGGGACCCGCAAAACACCGAAAAGUAGCCAUUUUUCGCAGAAAAAUGAGCGAAUUUGAGGUGUUUUAGGAUUGCGGAAGCACAAAGUGCGGAGCAAUCCGU